GAACGGCAGCACGGACUUCGGUCUGGUGGCGAGUGGCGAACGGGUGAGUAAUACAUCGAACGUGCCUCUGUAGCGGGGAUAACUACGCGAAAGCGUAGCUAAUACCGCACAUUAAUAUUCUUCGGGGGAAAGCGGGGGACUCGGGCCUCGCAAUCAUUAGGAGUGGCCGAUACUGAUUACUGUAGUUAGGGGUAACGGCUCACCGGAAAAGGACGAUCCGGUGUAGCUGGUUUGAGAGGACGACCAGCCACACUGGAUCACAGAGGACACGUCCAGACUCCUGUACGGGAGGCAGCAGUGGGGAAUUUUGGACAAUGGGGAAACCCUGAUCCAGCCAUCCCGUGCGAUGAAGGCCUUCGGGUUGUAAAGCACUUUUGGCAGGAGAAGAAACGGCACGGAUAAUACACCUGCAACUGACGGUACCUGCAGAAUAAGCACCGGCUAACUACGUGCCAGCAGCCGCGGUAAUGGCUUGUGGCAAGCGUUAACUGGAAUUACUGGGCGUAAAGCGUGCGCAGGCGGUUCGAAAGAAAGAUGAACCAGAGCUUUAACUUUGGAACUGGAUGGAACUACUGAGCCGAGCGUGUCAGGAGGAGGGAAUUCCGCGUGUAGCAGUGAAAUGCGUAGAUAUGCGGAGGAACACCGAUGGCGAAGGCAGCUUCUUGGAUAACAUCACGAUCACCAGACCAAAGCGGAGCAAACAGAGAUUGUAGAUACCCUGUAGUCCACGCCCUAAACGAUGUCAACUAGCUGUUGGCUUUCUGGCCUGGUAGCGCAGGCUGAACGGCAGGAAGUUGACCGCCUGGGAGUACGGUCGCAAGAUUAAAACUCAAAGGAGGUCGACGGGACCCGCCGAAGCGGUGAUGAUGUGGAUUAAAUUGACGCAACGCGAAAACCACCUGCCUUUACAUGUUCAGAAUCCUGAAGACGUGGAGUGCUCGCAGAGAACCGGAACACAGGUGCUGCACAUGGCUGUCGUCAGCUCGCAAUGAGAUGCUGGGUUAAGUCCCGCAACGCGCAACCUGUCAUUAGUUGGUUACGAAAGGGCACUCUAAUGAGAUCGCCAGACAAACCGAGGAAGGUGGGGUCAAGUCCUCAUGGCCCUUGCGGCAGGGCUUCCACACGUCAUACACUUGCCGGACAGAGGGUCGCCAACCCGCGAGGGGGAGCCAAUCCAGAAACCCGAUCGUAGUCCGGAUCGCAGUCUGCAACUCGACUGCGUGAAGUCGGAAUCGCCAGUAAUCGCGGAUCAGUAUGUCGUGUGCAACAUGUUCCGGCCCGUACACCGCCUGCCCACCAUGGGAGUGGGUUUUACCAGAAGUAGUUAGCCUAACCGUAAGAGGGCGAUUACCACGGUAGGAUUCAGCGACUGGGGUGGUCGUAACAAGGUAG
rnacentral:rRNA from 1 species